CAUUGGUGAAAAUCCAAUGCCCCGAAAACCUAAGGGUUCCUCCGCAAGGUUCGUCCACAGAGGGUGAGUCGGGGCCUAAGAUCAGGCCGAAAGGCGUAGUCGAUGGACAACAGGUGAAUAUUCCUGUACUGCCCUUUGUUGGUCCCGAGGGACGGAGGAGGCUAGGUUAGACGAAAGAUGGUUAUCGGUUCAAGAACGUAAGGUGUCCCUGCUUUGUCAGGGUAAGAAGGGGUAGAGAGCAGUGACUUGAGAACUUAAAGCACUACUCUAUUUCGAUUUAGCCCAAAUUGAUUUAUUGGUUUCUUGUCAAACAAAGAGG
rnacentral:ncRNA from 1 species